CUGGGUUUCACUGAUUAGAUUUGUUUUGCUUUUUUGGAUCCAAACCACAAUUGCAUUUCAGGUAAUAUUUAUAUUGUAUUUAUAUUGCAUAUACUCAUAAUAAAUACGGAAGCUGGUUUAAAAUCAAUCUGCCUUUGAUGAGCUCAUAAACUCUUUUGAUUUCUGUCUUUAUUGGGUUUUAAACAAAGAUUACAGAAGAUUACAAAAAUAAUUACAGACACUUUUUAGUAAUGUGUCUUUUUUUAAAGGUAUUUAAGAAGGAACUGUUGACCCUCUCUGAAAAGCUUCCUCUUUCUUUGUUAAAGUGGUGUAGUUUCCUGGUGUGUCAGUAGAGCUGCUGUCUGUCUGUCAGUGAACACGCUGCAUGAGACUCUGUCUGACUCUCUUCUGCUGGGAUUGGACUCUUCUGGAAACUGGACUUCAGAGAAAUGAUGCUGAUCUUUGGACUGAUGCUGCUGCUGCAAACUGCUGCAUGUCUGGAUAGUUUCUGCUGGUUUGAUCAGUCUGAACCCUGUUACGCAGCUCUGGGAAAUAACCUCAAUCUGCCGAUGGAGCGGGACGCUCAAGAAUAUGAGCUGAAGAUAAUAAAGAGAAUAAACAACAACACACAAGAUGAUCCAGUUUGUAGAGUAAAAUAUGGCAGGAUAAGGAUGAGGGAAUGUGAUCUUUAUAAUAACAGACCUGAAGUGACAGUCAUUAAUGGCUUUCUGAUAAUAAACCGUGUGAUCAGAGCAGAUUCUGGGAAUUACAGAUUAACAGUCUCUCGUUCAGGCGGCACAGAAACAUCUAGAGAUCUUCAAGUGAUUGUUGAAGCUCCUAUUGGCUCAGUGGAAGUGUCAAUCAUCUGCUCCUCCAGUGGGGUGAUGAGGGUGUUCUGCUCCUCUGAGGGGGAUCAGCUCCUCUACAGCUGGACUCUGAAUGGAGAUCCACUGAUGGAUGGAAACAGCAGCAUUGAUCUGGAUGAGAGAACUGAUGGAGACAUCAGCUGCAGCGUGAAGAACCACGUCAGUCAAGCACAGAAGAACAUUAGACUCAAACCCUGUCCCGGACCAACUACUGCAGCUGUGACCUCUAGUUUGACCUCUACGUCGACACAGACAUCAGAAUAUGCUCUGGAACACAAACUCAAUCUGCUGAUGGAGCGGGACGCUCGAGAAUAUGACCUGAAGAUAAUAAAGAGAAUAAACAACACACAAGAUGAUCCAAUUUGUAGAGUAAAAUAUGGCAGGAAAAAGGAAUGUGAUCUUUAUAAUAACAGAAUUGAAGUGAAUAUCAUUAAUGCGACUGUGAUAAUAAACCGUGUGAUCAGAGAAGAUUCUGGGAAUUACAGAUUACUACUCUUUCACUCAGACGGCACAGAAACAUCUAGAGAUCUUCAAGUGAUUGUUGAAGCUCCUAUUGGCUCAGUGGAAGUGUCAAUCAUCUGCUCCUCCAGUGGGGUGAUGAGGGUGUCCUGCUCCUCUGAGGGGGAUCAGCUCCUCUACAGCUGGACUCUGAAUGGAGAUCCACUGAUGGAUGGAAACAGCAGCAUUGAUCUGGAUGAGGGGAACUGA
ensembl:lncRNA